GGGGCAACCCUGAUCCAGCCAUGCCGCGUGAGUGAAGAAGGCCUUCGGGUUGUAAAGCUCUUUCGGCCGGGAAGAAAUCGCAUAGGUUAAUACCCUGUGUGGAUGACGGUACCGGAAUAAGAAGCACCGGCUAACUACGUGCCAGCAGCCGCGGUAAUACGUAGGGUGCGAGCGUUAAUCGGAAUUACUGGGCGUAAAGCGUGCGCAGGCGGUUUCGUAAGACAGAGGUGAAAUCCCCGGGCUCAACCUGGGAACUGCCUUUGUGACUGCGAAGCUAGAGUACGGCAGAGGGGGGUGGAAUUCCACGUGUAGCAGUGAAAUGCGUAGAGAUGUGGAGGAACACCGAUGGCGAAGGCAGCCCCCUGGGCCGAUACUGACGCUCAUGCACGAAAGCGUGGGUAGCAAACAGGAUUAGAUACCCUGGUAGUCCACGCCCUAAACGAUGUCAACUAGGUGUUGGGUGGGUAAAACCAUUUAGUACCGUAGCUAACGCGUGAAGUUGACCGCCUGGGGAGUACGGCCGCAAGGUUAAAACUCAAAGA
rnacentral:rRNA from 1 species